rnacentral:rRNA from 1 species
UACGGAGGGUGCAAGCGUUAUCCGGAUUUAUUGGGUUUAAAGGGUCCGUAGGCGGGCCGAUAAGUCAGUGGUGAAAUCCUAUCGCUCAACGAUAGAACUGCCAUUGAUACUGUCGGCCUUGAGUAAAUUUGAGGUAGCUGGAAUAAGUAGUGUAGCGGUGAAAUGCAUAGAUAUUACGUAGAACACCAAUUGCGAAGGCAGGUUACCAAGAUUAAACUGACGCUGAGGGACGAAAGCGUGGGGAGCGAACAGG